GGGAGCUGUGUCAGGAGCGACAGCCCAGCCCCUGCGGCCUCGCAGACGGUGUCUGCAGGGACGUGGCUGCACUGACAGCCGGGGCGGAGCGCGGCUUCCCCGCUGAUUGAAAUGCAUCCAGCUCCCCUCACAGCGAGGACGUCCAGGGCUCACUCUGGAGCCAGGCAUGAAAUCUACGCGGGGCGGCGAGGGCGCUCUGGAGCCGUUUGAGGGACCUGCCACGGGAACAUCUGUGCCGUUCGCUGCUAUGAGCCUGUUUAAAGCAUCUCCACCGACCUGCUGAGCUUCCCGGGGUCACAGCAUGUUCUCCCCGUGACAAAGGGCGCGUGGGGGUCGCAUCCACGCGCCUCCACCCGCCCUGGGCCCUCAGAUCCAACAGCUGAUGGUUUGGCGAGAAGCAGCCAUCGAUUCCCGGCAGCGUGGACCCCUGGCUGCGGUGGGAGGAGCAGAAAGGCCGGCUCCCUGUUCCCCGUGAGGGGGCAGCCGGCAACCGGGGCCUGUGCAGCUCUGCUCCUCCCGGUCCCUGCACGGCCGAGGGGAGGGCACCAUCCCACUACCCUGGGGGCACAGGGCACCCACACCCCACUGCCCUGGGGGCACAGGCCGCCCGCUGCGGAGUGACGUGGUCAGCGCUGUAUCCCCACCUGCAGUUCCUGGGCCCAGACUCAGACUCUAGACCAGGGGUGGGCAAACUUUUUGACUCG